CCACUGCUAUGGGGGUCCGACUAAGCCAUGCGAGCCAAGGGGGCGUCCCUUCUGGGACGCCACCGGCGGACGGCUCAGUAACACGUCGGUAACCUACCCUCGGGAGGGGGAUAACCCCGGGAAACUGGGGCUAAUCCCCCAUAGGCCUGGGGUACUGGAAGGUCCCCAGGCCGAAAGGGAGCCGUAAGGCUCCGCCCGAGGAGGGGCCGGCGGCCGAUUAGGUAGUUGGUGGGGUAACGGCCCACCAAGCCGAAGAUCGGUACGGGCCGUGAGAGCGGGAGCCCGGAGAUGGACACUGAGACACGGGUCCAGGCCCUACGGGGCGCAGCAGGCGCGAAACCUCCGCAAUGCGGGAAACCGCGACGGGGGGACCCCCAGUGCCGUGCCUCUGGCACGGCUUUUCCAGAGUGUAAAAAGCUCCGGGAAUAAGGGCUGGGCAAGGCCGGUGGCAGCCGCCGCGGUAAUACCGGCGGCCCGAGUGGUGGCCACUAUUAUUGGGCCUAAAGCGGCCGUAGCCGGGCCCGUAAGUCCCUGGCGAAAUCCCGCGGCUCAACCGUGGGGCUCGCUGGGGAUACUGCGGGCCUUGGGACCGGGAGAGGCCGGGGGUACCCCCGGGGUAGGGGUGAAAUCCUAUAAUCCCGGGGGGACCGCCAGUGGCGAAGGCGCCCGGCUGGAACGGGUCCGACGGUGAGGGCCGAAGGCCAGGGGAGCGAACCGGAUUAGAUACCCGGGUAGUCCUGGCUGUAAAGGAUGCGGGCUAGGUGUCGGGCGAGCUUCGAGCUCGCCCGGUGCCGUAGGGAAGCCGUUAAGCCCGCCGCCUGGGGAGUACGGCCGCAAGGCUGAAACUUAAAGGAAUUGGCGGGGGAGCACUACAAGGGGUGGAGCGUGCGGUUUAAUUGGAUUCAACGCCGGGAACCUCACCGGGGGCGACGGCAGGAUGAAGGCCAGGCUGAAGGUCUUGCCGGACGCGCCGAGAGGAGGUGCAUGGCCGCCGUCAGCUCGUACCGUGAGGCGUCCACUUAAGUGUGGUCACGAGCGAGACCCGCGCCCCCAGUUGCCAGUCCCUCCCGCUCGGGAGGGAGGCACUCUGGGGGGACUGCCGGCGAUAAGCCGGAGGAAGGGGCGGGCGACGGUAAGUCAGUAUGCCCCGAAACCCCCGGGCUACACGCGCGCUACAAUGGGCGGGACAAUGGGACCCGACCCCGAAAGGGGAAGGGAAUCCCCUAAACCCGCCCUCAGUUCGGAUCGCGGGCUGCAACUCGCCCGCGUGAAGCUGGAAUCCCUAGUACCCGCGCGUCAUCAUCGCGCGGCGAAUACGUCCCUGCUCCUUGCACACACCGCCCGUCACUCCACCCGAGCGGGGUCCGGGUGAGGCCCAGUCUCCUUCGGGAGGCUGGGUCGAGCCCGGGCUCCGUGAGGGGGGAG
rnacentral:rRNA from 1 species